GUACUACUCCCUCCGUCCGAAAAUACUUGUCAUCAAAAUGGAUAAAAAGGGAUGUAUCUAGAACUAAAAUACGUCUAGAUACAUCUCUUUUAUUCAUUUUGAUGACAAGUAUUUCCGGACGGAGGGAGUACUUG
rnacentral:pre_miRNA from 1 species